GGGGGGAGACCAUUGAAGGGUCCUAGCAGGGGACAUGGGGGCAGUGAUGGAACGCUGACCGCGGGCCCCUCAGUGUCUCUCUCUCUCUCUCUCUCUCUCUCUCUCUCUCUCUCUCUCUCUCUCUUGCUCUCUCUCUCUCUCUCUCUCUCUCUCUCUCUCUCUCUCUCUCUCUCUCUCUCUCUCUCUCUCUCUCUCUCUCCCUCCCUCAGUGGCUACUGAGGUGCAGGAGCCUUCAGGGGAUUGUAUUCGUCCAAUCGGCGUUCAGGUCAAAGGCCUACUCCAGUGUGCUCCUCCAGCUGUGGACCCCUACUGGGAACAUCAAAGAGCUUCACACUGAUGCUGAUGUCAGCUCAUUUCAUUCCUCAACAAAAAUAAAUAUUCUGUUUGAAUCCUGAUGAUGAAUACUGACUGCAUCAGUGCAGCAGUGUUUGGUCCAGGCACUGCUGUAUGUGUGUGUGUGUGUGUGUGUGUGUGUGUGUGUGUGUGUGUGUGUGUGUGUGUGUGUGUGUGUGUGUGUGUGUGUGUGUGUGUGUGUGUGUGUGUGUGUGUGUGUGUGCGCGUGCGUGUGUGAGUGAUUGUGUGAGUGUGAGUAUGAGUAUGAGUAUGAGUAUGAGUAUGAGUAUGAGUAUGAGUGUGAGUGUGAGUGUGAGUGUGAGUGUGAGUAUGAAUGUGAUGUGAGUGUGAGUGUGAGUGUGAGUGUGAUGUGAAUGUGAGUGUGAGUGUGAGUGUGAGUGUAAUGUGAGUGUGAGUUUGAGCAUGAGUAUGAGUGUGAAUGUGAGUGUGAGUGUGUGUAUGUGAGGGUGUGAGUGUGUCUGUGACCCACUAAUCUACUAACUAAACCCAGCUAUCUAAACUAAUCUGUUCAUCUGCCGCCUUCUGCUCGUGUGCAGGCAGGCGAAGGUCUCAAUCUGAGCUGGAAAUUACAAAGAGAAAUGUUU
ensembl:lncRNA